CAACCUAAUAUGAUCCUUCUAUCCAUCCACACAUCCAUCCAUCCUCCGUCCACUCUCCCGCCUACUAAUCCGUACUUCUAGGUGAUAAGGAACCAUAUGGACUUCUUGCAGCUCCUGGAGGCAGAUGCUGGCGGGCCAGGCUUGGCCUCUGCCACAAGCAAUGCCCUGAUCCCACAAGGUCCUGGAGGGGCCGUGGACCAGUUUGUAACACAAGACCCUGGAAAGGA